CCUACGGGGUGCAGCAGUGAGGAAUACUGGUCAAUGGACGAGAGUCUGAACCAGCCAAGUAGCGUGAAGGAUGACUGCCCUAUGGGUUGUAAACUUCUUUUAUAUGGGAAUAAAAUGUUCCACGUGUGGGAUUUUGUAUGUACCAUAUGAAUAAGGAUCGGCUAACUCCGUGCCAGCAGCCGCGGUAAUACGGAGGAUCCGAGCGUUAUCCGGAUUUAUUGGGUUUAAAGGGAGCGUAGGUGGAUUGUUAAGUCAGUUGUGAAAGUUUGCGGCUCAACCGUAAAAUUGCAGUUGAAACUGGCAGUCUUGAGUACAGUAGAGGUGGGCGGAAUUCGUGGUGUAGCGGUGAAAUGCUUAGAUAUCACGAAGAACUCCGAUUGCGAAGGCAGUUCACUGGACUGCAACUGACACUGAGGCUCGAAAGUGUGGGUAUCAAACAGGAUUAGAUACCCGGGUAGUC
rnacentral:rRNA from 1 species